rnacentral:rRNA from 1 species
UACGGAGGUGGCGAGCGUUACUCGGUGUUACUGGGUGUAAAGGGUCCGCAGGCGGCCGAAUAAGUAAGAGGUGAAAUCUCCCGGCUUAACCGGGAAACUGCCUCUUAUACUGUUUGGCUAGAGGACAAGAGAGGAAAACGGAACUGCCGGUGUAAGGGUGAAAUCUGUGGAUAUCGGCAGGAACGCCAGUGACGAAGGUGGUUUUCUGGCUUGUACCUGACGCUCAGGGACGAAAGCUAGGGGAGCGAACAGGAUUAGAUACCCUCGUA